CCUACGGGAGGCUGCAGUGGGGAAUAUUGCACAAUGGGCGCAAGCCUGAUGCAGCCAUGCCGCGUGUGUGAAGAAGGCCUUCGGGUUGUAAAGCACUUUCAGCGGGGAGGAAGGCGUUAAGGUUAAUAACCUUGUCGAUUGACGUUACCCGCAGAAGAAGCACCGGCUAACUCCGUGCCAGCAGCCGCGGUAAUACGGAGGGUGCAAGCGUUAAUCGGAAUUACUGGGCGUAAAGCGCACGCAGGCGGUCUGUCAAGUCGGAUGUGAAAUCCCCGGGCUUAACCUGGGAACUGCAUUCGAAACUGGCAGGCUAGAGUCUUGUAGAGGGGGGUAGAAUUCCAGGUGUAGCGGUGAAAUGCGUAGAGAUCUGGAGGAAUACCGGUGGCGAAGGCGGCCCCCUGGACAAAGACUGACGCUCAGGUGCGAAAGCGUGGGGAGCAAACAGGAUUAGAUACCCGAGUAGUC
rnacentral:rRNA from 1 species